rnacentral:rRNA from 1 species
CCUACGGGGGGCAGCAGUGAGGCAUCUUGGUCAAUGGACGAGAGUCUGAACCAGCCAAGUAGCGUGAAGGAUGACUGCCCUGUGGGUUGUAAACUUCUUUUAUAUGGGAAUAAAACGUUCCACGUGUGGGAUUUUGUAUGUACCAUCUGAAUAAGGAUCGGCUAACUCCGUGCCAGCAGCCGCGGUAGUACGGAGGAUCCGAGCGUUAUCCGGAUUUAUUGGGUUUAAAGGGAGCGUAGGUGGAUUGUUAAGUCAGUUGUGAAAGUUUGCGGCUCAACCGUAAAAUUGCAGUUGAAACUGGCAGUCUUGAGUACAGUAGAGGUGAGCGGAAUUCGUGGUGUAGCGGUGAAAUGCUUAGAUAUCACGAAGAACUCCGAUUGCGAAGGCAGUUCACUGGACUGCAACUGACACUGAGGCUCGAAAGUGUGGGUAUCAAACAGGAUUAGAUACACCAGUAGUC